ensembl:lncRNA
GGUCACUCCAGGCUGUGUGGUUUCUAGGAUGACGGUCACAUCACUGAAGUCACUAGUCUCUGUAAUAACUAAAGUUAGAGAGCUAAAGGUUGAUAUGUAGCCAAAGAGCUCCAUCUGAGCAAGACAUGACUUAUACACAAUUAGAACAAGGACAUAUUUCUGUGCAUGGAUGUUUUUCACUAGUGGAAUUAAACUGCAUGUAUAAUCACAUUUUUAAAGGACAGAAAUGUGAUGUGCCAGUUUAGAGUUGGUUUCUAUUGCAAUAUAACAUAUAAAUAUUCAGGUUUGUGGUGGUGGUGUAGUUGUAGUUGUAGUUGGUGCUGGUUUAGGUGGUGUUGUAGUUGGUGCUGGUGUAGGUAGUGUUGUAGUUGUAGAUGGUGCCAGAGUAGGCAGGGUUGUAGUUGUAGUUGGUGCUGGUGUAGGUAGUGUUGUAGUUGUAGAUGGUGCCAGAGUAGGCAGGGUUGUAGUUGUAGUUGGUGCCAGAGUAGGCAGUGUUGUAGUUGGUGCUGGUGUAGGUGGUGUUGUAGUUGCAGUUGUAGUCGGUGCCUAAGUAGGUGGUGUUGUAGUUGAUGCUGGUAUAGGCAGUGUUGUGAUAGAUAGAACUGAGGAAUGAAAGACAAUUAGAGAAUCAAGGAACCUGAAGCGUUUACAGACUGCGAAGCGAUUGUUGCAAUAGGUUGUGCAAUAUUAGCAUUAACUGAUGUGGUAGUUUAGGCUAUAUA